rnacentral:snRNA from 1 species
AUCGCUUCUCGGCCUUUUGGCUAAGAUCAAGUGUAGUAUCUGUUCUUAUCAGUUUAAUAAAAUUACGUAAGUACAAAACAGCGUUUUAAAAAGACUAUCUUUU